GCGGCGGCGUCGGGGCGCGGAGGCGGGGGCGGGGAGAUGGCGGCGGCCGCCGAGCUGCAGGGGAAGUACCAGAAGCUGGCCCAGGAGUACUCCAAGCUUCGAGCUCAGAACCAAGUACUGAAAAAAGGGGUUGUAGAUGAACAAGCCAACUCUGCUUCUCUGAAGGAGCAAGUGAAGAUGAAGGAUCAGUCACUGAGGAAACUGCAACAAGAAAUGGACAGCUUGACCUUUCGAAAUCAGCAACUGGCCAAGCGGGUGGAGUUACUUCAAGAUGAACUUGCAUUAAGUGAAACUAGGGGCAAGAAGAACAAGAAAAGUGCAGAAUCCUCAUCUCAGUUGAGUCAAGAGCAGAAAAGUGUCUUCAAUGAAGAUCUUCAGAAGAAGAUAGAAGAGAAUGAACGACUACAUAUACUUUUCUUUGAAGCAGACGAGCAGCACAAACGUUUAGAAGCAGAGCUGAGAACUAGACUUGAAGUUUUGGAAACCGAUGCUGCCCAACAUCAAGCUGUGGUGGACAGUUUGACAAGGAAAUACACGGAUACCAUAGAAAAACUGCAGACUGAUAAAGCCAAAUUGGAAAUCAAGUCUCAGACACUAGAAAGAGAAGCUAAGGACUGUAGGCUUCGAACCGAAGAAUGCCAGCAACAGUUAAAGAAUCUUCAAUCAGCUUUGGGCAGUAGACUGGAAGAAUCUCUAUGCAUAAUCAAUGAAAAAGUACCUUUUAAUGACACAAGAUCUAAUCGAUACAACGCUCUGAAUGUACCACUGCACAACAGAAGAUACCAGCUGAAGUUGAGAGACCUUGCUGGUCAGGCGCUGGCUUUCGUUCAAGAACUUGUAACAGCUCUUUUGAACUUCCAUACGUACACCGAGCAGAAGGUGCAGAUCUUCCCCAUUGAUUCUGCAACAGAUACUAUAUCCCCGCUAAAUCAGAAGUUCUCACAGUAUCUUCAUGAAAAUGCUUCGUACGUUCGCCCUCUGGAGGAAGGAAUGCUUCACUUGUUUGAGAGUAUUACGGAAGAUACUGUGACAGUCCUGGUAAGAUUUCUUAUUUUCAGUAUUGAAAAAGACUUUUACAGAGCAAAAAUACUUACGUGUUGUUUUUCCUUCCAGGAAACAGCUGUGAAAUUGAAGGCCUUCUCCGAAAAUUUAGCUUCCUACUUAUGCUUUUUAAGAAAGAUUCUUCCUUAUCAGUUAAAAAGUUUGGAAGAAGAGUGUGAGUCUUCUCUUUGCACAGCUGCUUUAAGAGCUAGAAAUAUGGAGCUACACAGAGACAUGAAAAGGUUGACUGCAGUCUUUGAGAAGCUACACACCUACAUUAGUCUUCUUGCAUUACCAAGUACAAAGCCAGAAGGACUUCUUAGGACAAAUUACAACUUUGUGUUUACAAACAUUGCUACAAGUCUUCAUGGAUUUCAUGAUAUUUUAAAAGACCUUUCCAAGCACUACAGUCAGAAAGCUACUUUAGAACAAGACGUUCCAACUGCCACACAGAAACUCAUAACUACAAAUGACUGUAUUUUGUCCUCUGUUGUGGCUUUAACGAAUGGAGUGGGCAAGAUUGCCUCGUUCUUUAGCAACAAUUUGGAUCACUUCACUACUUCGUUGAGCUAUGGCCCUAAAGCAGGGACAGAGUUCAUCAGCCCUCUUUCAGCUGAGUGUAUGCUGCAAUACAAGAAAAAGGCGGUUGCUUACAUGAAGUCUUUGAAGAAGCCUUGUGCAGAUUCGGUGCCUUAUGAAGAGGCUUUGGCUAAUCGCAGAGUUCUUCUGAGUUCCACAGAAAGUAGAGAAGGACUUGCACAACAGCUGGGUGUUCAGACUGUGCUUGAGUGGCCAUCAUUGAACUUUCACAGAAGGAAGACUUCAGUGGCUUUUCUUGUAGUGGACUACAUUCACAGUGUGCCAGUCCAGCAGAGUUUGGAGAAAAUUGCGAAACUUGAACAAGAAAAAGAGCACUGGAUGUUGGAGGCCCAGCUGGCUAAGAUAAAACUAGAAAAAGAAAACCAAAAACUGAAGAACUCUCUUAGUGGACAUUUAACUGAAACUAUACAAGAGCGUUCCGUUUUGCCAAAUGUAGCUGAACAAAAGAAGGAAACCACAGAAAAGAGUCCAAGGGAACCUAUUAAAAGUACUAGUCUGAUUGGAAUGUUGACUAUAACUACUGAUAAUGAAAAGGCUCCAGAUGUUGAGUCUCGUGAAGACCUGAUAAAAAACCACUAUAUGGCAAGGAUAGCAGAACUUACAUCUCAUCUGCAGCUUGCUGACAGCAAAUCAGUACACUUCCACGCCGAGUGUCGAGCACUUGCCAAAAGACUGUCUCUGGCAGAGAAGUCCAAGGAAUCGCUUACGGAAGAGCUGAAACUUGCUAGUCAAAACAUCAGUAGGUUACAGGAUGAAUUGAUGACAACAAAGAGAAGUUAUGAGGAUCAGUUAAGUAUGAUGAGUGACCAUCUCUGCAGCAUGAAUGAAACAUUAACUAAACAAAGGGAAGAAAUUGAUACGCUAAAAAUGACCAGUAAGGGAAAUUCUAAAAAGAACAAAAAUCGAUAGCUUGCAGCUCAUCAACUGUCUUCAGAAGCUGCUGCUGCGCAGGAUGCAGUUGGUGGAUGUUCACUGUCUAAUUCCUGUUUGUUACAGGAAGCAGAGGUGGUAUUGGGUCUAGUAAAAACUGAUUUGGUGCUGUAAAUGGCUUUAAAAUAUUUAGAACUUGUGACAGGUAAAACAGAACUUAAUGUUGGCUCUAAACCAGGAAAUACACACUGUGGAUAAUUUAUAUAGUAAUUACCUUCAGUUUUUACUGUGCACUUUUUAAAACUAGGUUUUAAUUUCAUGUAAUAACUUCAUAUUUUGUAUAUUUUCAAAUAUUCUGCAUUAACAAGUUUGGAUCAGUGCAGUAGUUGUCUAUUUUUGAGUUAUAUGUUAAAUUGUCAAUGUGUACAUUCCUUUACCUGCUAAUAACAGUUUAAAAAUUAAUUUUGAGACUUUGGGCCAUGCAAGAUGUGCAGUUACUGUGAAUGUCUUAUUCCUGUUCUCAGCCCUUUUGAAUUAAUUGGAAUUGUAGCUUUAAAUGACUUCUAUAAAUUCAUACAAGUAAACGGGAUCACUUUUCUUUUAGGUUGCAAUUGUGGAAACUUUUGCUGCUUGUAUUUGGCACUUUGGAUUUUGAAGUAAAGAGCACAAAUAGCUGAAUUGGGAUACUUCUAUGAAAUUGCUUUAAGCCCUUACUCAAGCAUUUUGUUUACACAUGUGUAUAUAUAUUGGUUGAAAUAGCUGUUUAAAGCUAGAGGAAAUUGUGAUCGUCAUUUGCCCCAAAAGAGUAAAGCGAUAUAUGUGUGUAGAUUAGCUCAGCUUACUGUGCUCUCUUACAGUAAAGAAGAAUAUGAAAUACAUAGAAGAAUUAAACACUGAAUUUGCAAAAGGUCUUCAUGGAAUUAAAUUGUGAUGGAUUUACUAGGGGGAUGCACGUGGCUUUUCCUGUGUUUUGGGAAGUUUGUGAACUUUAGGCCUUUCCUAAGAUUUUGGGUUUUUUUAAGUGAAGUCUAACAAUACGAGAGUUCACAGCAUUGAUUUUUUUUUGUUGUUGUUUUUUUAAAUCAGAUGCUGUGCUGCUCCACACUUUACACUGAUCUUCUGUUCCACAAUUUACAUUAUGGCACUUAUUUGUCAUAUAAGGGUUUACUUUGAUAACAGCUGUGAUAUGUAUUGUUAAUAUGUAAUAAUAAAAUCAGCUACG